UACGGAGGGUCCAAGCGUUAUCCGGAAUUAUUGGGUUUAAAGGGUGCGUAGGCGGCCUAUUAAGUCAGGGGUGAAAGACGGUAGCUUAACUAUCGCAGUGCCUUUGAUACUGAUGGGCUUGAAUGUACUUGAGGUAGGCGGAAUGUGACAAGUAGCGGUGAAAUGCAUAGAUAUGUCACAGAACACCAAUUGCGAAGGCAGCUUACUAAAGUAUGAUUGACGCUGAGGCACGAAAGCGUGGGGAUCAAACAGG
rnacentral:rRNA from 1 species